AUGAGGAAUUACAAAAUCAACGAGAAGAUUGAAGUUGGAGAAGGUGGAAACCGAACGGGACAUGCGACCGGAGCAACGAAGAGAUGUCAGAAAUCGCCAAAACAGAGGGAGAUAUGCCGCGGACCGCGGCGAUGCAGGAGGAAGGGCCGGAUUCCGACAGCGGUGGAGGAGAGAGAAGUGGACUUCAGUUCGCCAGAGGGAGAUCAGAGGAGUACCGCACGGGAGUGA